rnacentral:rRNA from 1 species
AGUGAACGCUGGCGGUAGGCCUAACACAUGCAAGUCGAACGGCAGCACAGUAAGAGCUUGCUCUUACGGGUGGCGAGUGGCGGACGGGUGAGGAAUACAUCGGAAUCUACUUUUUCGUGGGGGAUAACGUAGGGAAACUUCCGCUAAUACCGCAUACGACCUACGGGUGAAAGCAGGGGAUCUUCGGACCUUGCGCGAUUGAAUGAGCCGAUGUCGGAUUAGCUAGUUGGCGGGGUAAAGGCCCACCAAGGCGACGACCCGUAGCUGGUCUGAGAGGAUGAUCGGCCACACUGGAACUGAGACACGGUCCAGACUCCUACGGGAGGCAGCAGUGGGGAAUAUUGGACAAUGGGCGCAAGCCUGAUCCAGCCAUACCGCGUGGGUGAAGAAGGCCUUCGGGCUGUAAAGCCCUUUUGUUGGGAAAGAAAAGCAGCAGGUUAAUACCCCGCUGUUCUGACGGUACCCAAAGAAUAAGCACCGGCUAACUUCGUG